rnacentral:lncRNA from 1 species
UAAGGAGGUGAUUGAUACUCUGGUGGCGGAGGCGAUUUGUAGUAAUAAGGUGGUGGGGGUGGUGACUCGUAUUUGUAGGGAGGUGGUGGAGGGGAUUCAUACUUGUAUGGAGGCGGUGGAGGUGACUCAUACUUGUACGGAGGUGGAGGUGGGGAUUCAUACUUGUAAGGUGGUGGUGGUGGUGACUCGUAUUUGUACGGAGGUGGAGGUGGGGAUUCAUACUUGUAAGGUGGUGGUGGUGGUGACUCGUAUUUGUAGGGAGGUGGUGGUGGCGACUCAUACUUGUAUGGAGGCGGUGGAGGAGAUUUGUAAUAGUAAGGUGGUGGUGGUGGUGACUCGUAUUUAUAUGGAGGUGGUGGCGGGGAUUCAUAUUUGUAGGGAGGUGGUGGAGGGGACUUGUAGUAGUAAGGUGGAGGAGGAGGCGAUUCAUACUUGUAGGGAGGUGGAGGUGGGGAUUCAUAUUUGUAUGGUGGGGGUGGCGGAGACUUGUAGUAAUAAGGUGGAGGGGGCGACUUGUAUUUGUAAACUGGGGGUGGCGGAGACUCGUAUUUGUAGACUGGUGGUGGCGGCGACUCAUACUUGUAUGGAGGCGGUGGAGGAGAUUUGUAAUAGUAAGGUGGUGGGGGUGGUGACUCGUAUUUGUAGGGAGGUGGUGGCGGGGAUUCAUACUUGUAGGGAGGUGGCGGCGGGGAUUUGUAGUAAUAAGGAGGUGGUGGUGGAGAUUCAUACUUGUACGGAGGAGGAGGUGGAGACUCGUACUUGUAUGGAGGUGGCGGCGGGGAUUUGUAGUAAUAAGGUGGUGGCGGGGGUGACUUGUAUUUGUAAACUGGCGGUGGUGGAGAUUCGUACUUGUAUGGAGGUGGCGGGGGGGAUUUGUAGUAAUAAGGUGGUGGUGGUGGAGAUUCAUACUUGUACGGAGGAGGAGGUGGAGACUCGUACUUGUAUGGAGGUGGCGGUGGGGAUUUGUAGUAAUAAGGUGGUGGCGGAGGUGACUUGUAUUUGUAAACUGGUGGUGGUGGAGAUUCAUACUUGUACGGAGGAGGUGGUGGCGACUCGUACUUGUAUGGUGGUGGUGGAGGGGACUUGUAGUAAUAAGGUGGAGGUGGCGGGGAUUCAUACUUGUAUGGAGGUGGUGGUGGUGACUCGUACUUGUAUGGUGGUGGUGGCGACUUGUAUUUGUAAACUGGGGGUGGCGGAGUCUCAUAUUUGUAGACUGGAGGUGGCGGGGAUUCAUAUUUGUAUGGAGGUGGUGGUGGGGACUUGUAAUAGUAAGGUGGUGGAGGCGGGGACUCGUAUUUGUAAGGAGGAGGAGGCGGCGAUUCGUAUUUGUAGGGAGGUGGUGGUGGGGAUUUGUAAUAGUACGGUGGAGGGGGCGGGGAUUUGUAAUAGUAUGGAGACGGUGGUGGGGGCGACUUGUAGUAAUAAUUAGGCGGAGGUGGAGGUGGGGACUUGUAAUAGUAUGGUGGUGGAGGCGGGGAUUUGUAAUAGUAGACCGGCGAAGGAGGAGGAGGGGAUUUGUAGUAGUAAACCGGAGGAGGUGGCGAUUUGUAGUAGUAGACCGGAGGUGGCGGAGAGGCGUAAUGGUAGACCGGUGUUGGUGGCGGAGGUGACUUGUACUCAUAGGGAGGUGAUGUGUAGAAGCAGACUGACGAUGGCUCUGGAGUUGCAUAGAUGAAAGGACCGGCUGUCAAGACGAGCUCCUUCUCUGUUUUCGAUUUGAACUUGAGCUU